ensembl:lncRNA NRP2-AS1 NRP2 antisense RNA 1
AACGAUGAAUGGGCUCGGCCCUUGAAAUAUUGAAAUACGGAUCACAAGAUUCCCUUUUUGCUCACCCCACCUGGUACUCCAUGUCGUAGCUGGGCAGGAUGAUCCGCCCGUGCUUCCACUCGCCGCCCUGGUCCUCACGGAUGACCCACAGCAACUUGCUCUCCUGGCUGGCUUCCCGCACCACCUGCAGCGCCACCCCGCGGCCGCCCGUGGCCUGCAUUUACUGACUGUACUGCUGAUUUUAUGUUUUUAAAAGGACUUCAGGCAGGCCAUUUUCCAUGGAUUUCAGCAGGAAACAAAAAGGAUAGAAAGACCACCAAUAACCCAGGAAGGCCAAUCCAAGACUCAAAAAGAAGUAUGUUUGGCAUGAGGGCAGUAAAGAUGUUCUCUGGACAAAGACUGGUUCCCCUUAUCUGCUCUUUCUCCAGAAACCAGCCGGCCCCAAGUUUUCCAUCACCACAGGUCUUUUGUGUUGCUUCACAGUAGAUGAAAUAAAAUAUUACAUGAUCCUGGAACAAGAGUGGGACCUCAAGUGAUCUUAGGGCAGGCCAGU